rnacentral:rRNA from 1 species
CCUACGGGAGGCAGCAGUGGGGAAUAUUGCACAAUGGGCGCAAGCCUGAUGCAGCGACGCCGCGUGAGGGAUGACGGCCUUCGGGUUGUAAACCUCUUUCAGUAGGGAAGAAGCGAAAGUGACGGUACCUGCAGAAGAAGCGCCGGCUAACUACGUGCCAGCAGCCGCGGUAAUACGUAGGGCGCAAGCGUUAUCCGGAAUUAUUGGGCGUAAAGAGCUCGUAGGCGGUUUGUCGCGUCUGCCGUGAAAGUCCGGGGCUCAACUCCGGAUCUGCGGUGGGUACGGGCAGACUAGAGUGAUGUAGGGGAGACUGGAAUUCCUGGUGUAGCGGUGAAAUGCGCAGAUAUCAGGAGGAACACCGAUGGCGAAGGCAGGUCUCUGGGCAUUAACUGACGCUGAGGAGCGAAAGCAUGGGGAGCGAACAGGAUUAGAUACCCUGGUAGUCCAUGCCGUAAACGUUGGGCACUAGGUGUGGGGGACAUUCCACGUUUUCCGCGCCGUAGCUAACGCAUUAAGUGCCCCGCCGNGGGAGUACGCGCGAGACGAACUACAANAGAGUAGACGCGNGAGAGNGCGACGACGACGACGAGGGAGAGG